UCAAAUCAGGUAGGACUACCCGCUGAACUUAAGCAUAUCAUAAGCGGAGGA
rnacentral:rRNA from 1 species